GACGAAUUGACCCCUGGUACGUAUACUCAACGCGUUGAUGUAUGAAAUAGUAUAAUUAGGCAAGUGAAAGAAAAAUCUAAAUGAAUAUAACAACGACAUGGUAAAGGAGUUUUAAAAAUGUAACACGUGCCGAAACUUAAUUCUUCGGGCAUAAUGUGGCGAUUACGCGAAGACACGAAACUAGUACGUGGAUUGUGUACCUGGCCACUACACAAGAAACGUAUGACGUUCAUGAGACCGCGAUAAUUGUUACAUGUAUGUCCACUCUCGGGAGAUUGAGAGUACUACGUAAGAGUACAAAAUGCAAGUGAUAAGAAUAAAAUGUUGAAUCCGUAAGAAGUACGGACCAACAAUGUAUGAAU
rnacentral:lncRNA from 1 species